UACUUUCACCUAUAGAACGUUCCAUGCGUCUAGCACAGUAGCCUUCUAGGGAAACAGUGAAUUAGCAUGACCGCGAACCAAGACAAGCAGUUGUGAUCCGAAUGGAGCACCCGGUGACGGCACGUGCCUUUAUGACGCGUGUUCCUCCUUCCUCCUCCACCUCCAUUUCAUAUAUCCCCCACUCGCUACAAACCGCACACUAAAUGCAAUCGAGCCUUCCCGAACAACGUGAUCCGGGUGUGUUCCACACUCACAACACACAUGGCCAAGCAGCGAACUAUUAUGUUCCACCACUAUCAUAUAAAAUGCCACCUGAUGGCGUAAUCGAUUGUGUGUUUUUUUCUCGAUUAUGCGCCGCGCCUUUCCUUCCCAAAACAUCGCUGUCAUAAAGGAAUUACAGUAACAUCGAAUGAGCUAUUUUGGUGAUUUUAUUUGUAGAAGAAAAAAAGUGCAUAAUUAAAUGCCACGGAACAGUUGACCAUGAUGCUUGCCACGUCCCAAAACACAUUGUCGAGACGGGCAAUCGCAGUCAUCGAUGUUGUGGUGCUUUUCUUCCAACCAUAAGCGGAGCUAAUCUACAGUUUUGUUGUCAACAUUUCUUUCAAUAUUUAGUUAAUAAUCA